rnacentral:lncRNA from 1 species
CUCCUUCCAGUUAAAUGGUGAACGAGAUGGAUCUUUAUAUCAGCAACAGAAUGAACAUCGAGGCACAAACCUUUCCAGGAAAGAGAAGAAAGAUGUGCCAAAGCCUAUUAGCAAUGGUCUUCCCCCAACACCUAAAGUACAUGUAAGUACAAAUUAUGACAUUAGCUGUUUUCAGACUAUAGCCAAUGAUAAGUAAUUGCUCAAAAGUAUAUCUUAGGUUAGAUUUAUAUCCUAUUAAAAGAACUUUCAUAGCCAUGGUGACAUACAACGGUAAUUACAGCUACUCAAGAGGCUGAAGCAGGAGGAUCAAAAAUUCAAGACCAGCCAGAGCAACUUAAGGAAGCCCGGUCUCAAAAUUUUAAAAGGGUUGGAGGUUUAGCUUUGUAGUAGAGCGUUUGCUUAGCAUGUUGAAGGCCCUGGGUUUGUCCCUAGUACUACCCAAAAAAACAAACAAACCA